UACGUAGGGUGCGAGCGUUGUCCGGAAUUAUUGGGCGUAAAGAGCUCGUAGGCGGUGUGUCACGUCGUUCGUGAAAACCUGCAGCUUAACUGUGGGCGUGCGGUCGAUACGGGCAUCACUGGAGUUCGGCAGGGGAGACUGGAAUUCCUGGGUGAUAGCGGUGAAAUGCGCAGAUAUCAGGAGGAACACCGGUGGCGAAAGCGGCGCGCUGGAUCCCUACUGACGCUGAGGCACGAAAGCCAGGGGAGCAAACGGG
rnacentral:rRNA from 1 species